GACGAACGCUGGCGGCGUGCUUAACACAUGCAAGUCGAACGGUAAGGCCCUUCGGGGUACACGAGUGGCGAACGGGGGAGUAACACGUGGGUGAACUGCCCUGCACUUCGGGAUAAGCCUGGGAAACAGGGUCUAAUACCGGACAGGACUUCGGAACGCAUUGUCUGGGGUGGAAAGCUUUUGUGGUGUGGGCUGGGCCCGCGGCCUAUCAGCUUGUUGGUGGGGUGAUGGCCUACCAAGGCGACGACGGGUAGCCGGCCUGAGAGGGUGACCGGCCACACUGGGACUGAGAUACGGCCCAGACUCCUACGGGAGGCAGCAGUGGGGAAUAUUGCACAAUAGGCGCAAGCCUGAUGCAGCGACGCCGCGUGAGGGAUGACGGCCUUCGGGUUGUAAACCUCUUUCAGCACCGACGAAGCGCAAGUGACGGUAGGUGCAGAAGAAGGACCGGCCAACUACGUGCCAGCAGCCGCCGUAA
rnacentral:rRNA from 1 species